GAUGAACGCUAGCGGUGUGCUUAAUGCAUGCAAGUCGAACGGGAUCCCAUGGAUUCGUCCAGGGUGAGAGUGGCGGACGGGUGAGUAACGCGUUGGUGACCUGCCUCGGAGAGGGGGGACAACCAUUGGAAACGAUGGCUAAUACCCCGGAUGUUAUCGAGUUUAGAAAUCGAUAACUAAAGCUCUGGCGCUCCGAGAGGGGCCAGCGUCCCAUCAGCUUGUUGGUAAGGUAACGGCUUACCAAGGCUCAGACGGGUAGGGGGCGUGAGAGCGUGACCCCCCACACUGGUACUGAAACACGGACCAGAUACCUACGGGUAGCAGCAGCAAGGAAUAUUGCGCAAUGGGCGAAAGCCUGACGCAGCAACACCGCGUGGAGGAUGAAGGCUUUCGGGUUGUAAACUCCUUUUCUGGGGGAAGAGAAAGGACGGUACCCCAGGAAUAAGGCCCGGCUAACUACGUG
rnacentral:rRNA from 1 species